GAGGCACCAAAUGAGCGUAAAGUUUGGAGUUUGGGAGCUAGAAGAUCAUGUGUAAACCAUAAAGAAGAGGAGAAAGAAAAGAUAAAAGCACACCUCUUUGGCAACAUCAUUUGAAUUGAGAACAGCAAUGGUGGAAGAUCCGGUUCUAAUUGAAUAGAUUGGUCCAUGAAUCUCAACCCAGCUAGUGAAAGUCUUGUGGAGUUUCUUCUCCUUCAGUUGCAGCAAAUUCCCUAUAACUGGCCACCCAGAGGACAAAACGAAGAAGAAUACCCAUAAAAGCACCACACCUGGCACAGAAGGAAGUCUGGCAUUUCUUUUCUUAUUAUCAGAGAUGAAUUUUUUCAUAAAGAACAUGGAGAAGGACAAAACACCAAUAGCCGCAGGGGUGGCAUAGGGCAUUACUUGAAAACUUGGAAGGAUAGUAGUUGUGAAAACAUCCAUCGCUUUAGAUCAAAUAUUGAGAAAGGGCUACUGUUGUUUUAGAUGCUUCUGCUUAGAAUACCCACGGCCACUAUAUAUAGUGACACAUCUGCCAGAGUGGGAAAGAUGAAAUAUAUCCACUUCCAUCGCCUGAUUGGGAGUGGCAAUCAAGAUUUAUUUAUUAGAUUAGAUUAGAAAAAGAUGGGGAAGUUUAUUAACUUGAUAGGCGUUUAGUAACGCCCAGAAACCAGAUCAAAUUAACCUGUCUGUCGAAUCGUAAGAAUGGUUGAGGCAUCGAAUAUACCCACUAAUUCACUUGUGAUGAGGGUGAAUGGUAUAAUCCUCUUGAAGUGUCCCUUUCUGUUGGUUUUCUGAGCAAACGAGUAAGAAGGCAGGUCCUGGCUGAUUCCUCUGUUGGGUUUUGCUCUGCCAUAGCUUAUGCUUCUUUGGCGUUUAGGAAGUAAGCUUAGGUAAAAAGGAUGAAAGGAUGGGCCACCACGACCAGCCGGCAUGAGCUUAGUGAAUUUUUUUCUUCCGAGAGCUUAGCGAAUUCAUGUCAAGAAUUUGGCUAUUACUGCGCA